GCUGGGCGUGGUGGUGCAUGCCUGUGGUCCUAGCUACUUGGGAGGCUGAGGUGGGAGGAUCACUUGAGCCCGGGAGGCGGAGGCUGCAGUGAGCCAAGAUUGUGCCACUGCACUCUAGCCUGGGUGACAGAGUAAGACCCCAUCUCAA
rfam:Gorilla gorilla gorilla genomic chromosome, chr6, whole genome shotgun sequence